CCUACGGGUGGCAGCAGUGGGGAAUAUUGCACAAUGGGGGAAACCCUGAUGCAGCAACGCCGCGUGGGUGAAGGAGCGUUUCGGCGCGUAAAGCCCUGUCAGCGGGGAAGAAGAAAGACGGUACCCGACCAAGAAGCCCCGGCUAACUACGAGCCAGCAGCCGCGGUAAUAGGUAGGGGGCGCGCGGUUUCCGGAAUUACUGGGGGUAAAGGGAGCGUAGACGGCGAGGUAAGCCUGAAGUGGAAGCCCGGGGCCCAACCGCGGAACCGCUUUGGGAACUGGUUGGCUGGAGUAGGAGAGGGGUAAGCGGAAUGCGUGGUGUAGCGGUGAAAUGCGUAGAUAUCGGGAGGAACACCGGUGGCGAAGGCAGCUUACUGGCCCAUCACUGACGUUGAGGCUCGAAAGCGUGGGGAGCGAACAGGAUUAGAUACCCCUGUAGUC
rnacentral:rRNA from 1 species